CAUGAGUGUUUGAACCAACUUGCAUGCACCUGACUCUACAAUAUUUAAGAUAUGAAAUCUUAGGUCGAUGGCCACCAAGGGUUUAAACCAAUUUGCUCCAAGCCUUUUACUAUUAUCAUGUUCCUCAUUGACCACUAGGACAAUCCAUGGUGGCGAAUCCAUCUUGUAUACUCUCUGUUGAAUAUUUCUGCCAUAGAAGGUGUUUCCAAUAUGUCGGCAACCACUCAUACAAACCAGGGUUACUGCUUGUUUUCUGUCAUUGAUUUCUAAUGGGUUUGCCUGAAUUUUGUCCAAGUUAGUGGUCAGUUCCUUGUUGAGGGAUCUUUAUAAUGUUGUUAGCUGAUCAAGCAUUGUUUUGUAGAUCUCGAGUUUCAUCUGAUUUUACUUGUU